UACGGAGGGGGCUAGCGUUGUUCGGAAUUACUGGGCGUAAAGCGCGCGUAGGCGGCCAAGCAAGUCAGAGGUGAAAGCCCACGACUCAAUCGUGGAACUGCCUUUGAAACUGCUCGGCUAGAACACGGGAGAGGUGAGUGGAAUUCCGAGUGUAGAGGUGAAAUUCGUAGAUAUUCGGAAGAACACCAGUGGCGAAGGCGGCUCACUGGACCGUUGUUGACGCUGAGGUGCGAAAGCGUGGGGAGCAAACAGG
rnacentral:rRNA from 1 species